AUUGAACGCUGGCGGCAGGCCUAACACAUGCAAGUCGAGCGGAUGAAGGGAGCUUGCUCCUGGAUUCAGCGGCGGACGGGUGAGUAAUGCCUAGGAAUCUGCCUGGUAGUGGGGGAUAACGUCCGGAAACGGGCGCUAAUACCGCAUACGUCCUGAGGGAGAAAGUGGGGGAUCUUCGGACCUCACGCUAUCAGAUGAGCCUAGGUCGGAUUAGCUAGUUGGUGGGGUAAAGGCCUACCAAGGCGACGAUCCGUAACUGGUCUGAGAGGAUGAUCAGUCACACUGGAACUGAGACACGGUCCAGACUCCUACGGGAGGCGGCAGUGGGGAAUAUUGGACAAUGGGCGAAAGCCUGAUCCAGCCAUGCCGCGUGUGUGAAGAAGGUCUUCGGAUUGUAAAGCACUUUAAGUUGGGAGGAAGGGCAGUAAGUUAAUAGCUUGCUGUUUUGACGUUACCAACAGAAUAAGCACCGGCUAACUUCGUG
rnacentral:rRNA from 1 species